rnacentral:lncRNA from 1 species
UUGAAAUAAUCUAGAUCCUAAAAUCAAGCUAUCAAGAUCCUAGAAUCAAGCUAGAAUAAUUAGCUAUCUACUUCCUAUAAUUAAACUAAGAUAAUCAGGCUAUCUAAUUCCUAUAAUUGAUGUAUAAUAUAUCACACGUAUCUAGAUAUAUUCAACACUCCCCCUCAAGUUGGAGCAUACAAAUUAUAUGCACCAAGCUUGCCACAUAUAUAUUUUAUACGAGGACCUCUUAGGGACUUGGUAAGAAAAUCUGCAAGUUGAUCACUUGAAUUAACGAAACCCGUCUCAAUAACUUUGGAGAUCAAUUUUUCUCUAACAAAAUGGCAAUCAACUUCAAUGUUGUGACGGCUCCACCUCCCCCUAAGGCGAACUAGAGGGUUCGGCGGACCGCUUGCCCAACUCUCGCCGGGAUUUAGUCGUUCACUACAAUCCUCAAAUAAAUUACAAUAUAAGUUUCAAAUAUACAUCAGAUGUUCCACAAAUUUACAUAUUAUAAGCGAAGCAGAAACUAGUUCCCAAGCAUGGAAUGUAUACAUACAGCCGAUCGAUUCCAAAUAUUCAUACAAUCCU